rnacentral:rRNA from 1 species
UAGAAUUAGAGACAAUGGAAUUUUCAUAGUCGAAAGUUAUGGCGCCGUAGGAUGGAUCUGCGGUCGAUUAGUUUGUUGUUGGGGUAACGGCCCAACAAGCCGUAAAUCGAUACGGGUGGUGGGAGCAAGAGCCCGGAGAUGGAAUCUGAGACACGAUUCCAGGCCCUACGGGGCGCAGCAGGCGCGAAAACUUUACAAUGCAGGAAACUGUGAUAAGGGAACUCCGAGUGCCCGUAUACGCGGGCUGUCCAGGUGUUUAAAAAUCAUCUGAAGAAAGGGCCGGGCAAGACCGGUGCCAGCCGCCGCGGUAAUACCGGCGGCUCGAGUGGUGGCCACUAUUAUUGGGCUUAAAGCGUCCGUAGCUGGACCGAUAAGUCUCUUGGGAAAUCCGCCGGCUCAACCGGCGGGCGUCUAAGGGAUACUGUUAGUCUAGGGACCGGGAGAGGUGAGAGGUACUCCGGGGGUAGGAGUGAAAUCCUGUAAUCCCCGGGGGACCACCGAUGGCGAAGGCAUCUCACCAGAACGGCUCCGACAGUGAGGGACGAAAGCUGGGGGAGCGAACCGGGAUUAGAUACCCGGGUAGUCCCAGCCGUAAACUAUGCGCGUUAGGUGU